UGAGGCAUUGGCAGCUGGCAGCUCCUUGCCUGCUUUUAUUCCCCGUUUCAGGGUACUGCACCUGCCCAGAGAGUGCUGCACCUCAGCACAGACAGCAAGGGAGGGUUUCACAGGCAUCUCUCACACACCCAGUAAAGCUUAAUGUGUGAAGUCUGAAGCUGUGAGCCCCCUCAGAGUGUAGCAGCUCUUCACAUGAAAGGCAGAGGGAUGCUCCUAAAAGAAUCUGACAGGAUCCCUACAUACAUGAGAGAUACAAAGAUACCAUGGUACAUCUGGACAAGAAGCUGACCCUCCUUUAAUUCAUGGUUAAAGUUGCAGAAAUCCAUGGGCGUUCAAGAAAUAUGGGAUUGGAUCCAAAGAAUGAUUUUCUAAAUUAUACCAAUGGAAUAUUCUGUGCAGCUGAACUAAAUAGUCCAGAGUGUCUCCUAUGAAAAUGCAUAACUUGUCAAUUUUUGUGGCAUGAAAGAUACAUGUGCACGUGUGUGUGUGUGCUUGCAUGCACAGGGGAAUGUUAGAAUAGGUUUACAUUAGAGCAUAUUUAAACAGGAAACAUAAGAUAGGUAUUACAACUAAUAAAGUAGUGAAUUUACAUCUA